rnacentral:lncRNA from 1 species
GUUUUGUCGUUGGAAAGUUGGUCGCUGUGCUGAAAAUCUUCCAGAACCUAUUCCUGACCUACGCUCCAAAGCACAGAUCUAGGAUCAGCUCAUCCUCAUCAAAUCUAAACCAUAACCUGAAUAAACCACAAGGGGAACACUGACCUCAGACCAGCGUUUAAACCCCACGUCUUCCUGCCCAGACACUGACUCUCUGUCUAGAGUUCCUCUGUGCUCCAUCCAUCCAGCCAUCCAUCCAUCCAUCCAGCCAUCCAUCCAUCCAUCCAUCCAUCCAUCCAUCCAUCCAUCCAUCCAUCCACACCCCAGCCAUCCAGCCAUGGGUCUGAUGAUCGAGGACAUGGAGUGCUGCGUCUGCCUCCAGCCCUACUCUCGUAGGGAGAAGAUCCCUCGGAUGCUCCACUGUAAGCACACAUUCUGUGGGCUGUGCUUGCAGGCGAUGUCCAGGCACCAGAGCGGCCUACUGACAGUAUGCUGCCCCCUGUGCCGUUGGAUCACCUGCACCGAGCCCAGCCUCACCCUGCCGGGGUCGCUGUGGGUUAACACUGAGAUCUGGGACCAGAUACCAGACACACAACAGGAAGAGGAGGAGGAGGAAGAGGAAGGACAGUGGAAGGAAGCUAACAGACAGACACAGACCACUACACCGUACACAUGGUCUCCAUCAAGGCAUUGUGGCUUGAGGCUCAAACUACAGAAUUUCCUGAGGAGGAUGAAGCACAAUGUACUAUAAACCGAGAAGACGAAGAGCAGAGAAGAAGAAGACCGGAUCAUCCCAUUUCAGAGUAGGAGAUACUCAUUGAGUAAUGAAGCUAAUUCACUAAACAGGACCGACCGGGGAUUUUCCAUAAUGACGCAAGAUUGAACCAAUUACUCAUGUGCUUUGGGUUUGAUUGACUUUGGGUAUGUGUAAUGUUCUCAGUCAACUUACCUGGUAAAAUAAGGGUUAAAUAAUAUUAAUAAUAAUGAAGGAUGGAUAGGGGGAGGAAAUAUAAAAGAAGAUAUUAAAUGGAUUGAGGAUGAAAGAAAGAUAAAGGAAGUUAUGAAUAGAUGGACGGACGGACGGACGGAUGGAUGGGUGAAGGUUAGAGACUGUGUGCUGUGUACAAUACAAUAUACUGUGAACAUUGUUUAUAAUAGAUGUUUAAUCGUUUGAUAAAAGGUGUAUUACUGCGUGAAGGGAAGUGGAUGUUUAGUAUUUAUUAUUACAUCAUUUUAUAACAGCUUUAAUAUUGCAGAUUGAUUGUUGCUUUUAUCAAUGUAAUUGUCUGCAUCAUUUCCAAUCCCCCAUAUAAGGGAAGGUGGAUUUGUUUAUCCUCAUUUUACAUGUUUUAUUUAUCUGUUCUGUUUGAAGAGCAUGUUUAUUUUAUACUGGAAUUAUAUUUAUUGGUAAAUAAAUACAUCUACUUUAAAAUAA